GCCUGGCUAGCUCAGUCAGUAGAGCAUGAGACUCUUAAUCUCAGGGUUGGGCG
rnacentral:tRNA from 1 species